UACGAAGGUGGCAAGCGUUGUCCGGAUUUACUGGGCGUAAAGAGCGCGCAGGCGGUCGUUCAAGUCGCGUGUGAAAGCCCCCGGCUCAACUGGGGAGGGUCACGCGAUACUGAUCGACUCGAAGGCAGGAGAGGGUAGUGGAAUUCCCGGUGUAGUGGUGAAAUGCGUAGAUAUCGGGAGGAACGCCAGUGGCGAAGGCGACUACCUGGCCUGUUCUUGACGCUGAGGCGCGAAAGCUAGGGGAGCAAACGGG
rnacentral:rRNA from 1 species